rnacentral:misc_RNA from 1 species
CAGUUAUUACUUUCUACCAGCGCUUAAUUGCGCGGUGGAAAAUAACCCAUACACACAGUGUUUUUUGUUUAUUACAAGAACUAUUGCUUUGGCUUGGCGCAAGUCGGGCCAGAGGUUACUACGUAAACUUCAAUUUUUAAUUGAAUUGUUAUUUUAAUACAGUUGUCAAUUUGUUUGAUUAAAUUCAAAAAUAAUCUUCAA